rnacentral:rRNA from 1 species
CACGUAGGGCGCAAGCGUUGUCCGGAAUUAUUGGGCGUAAAGAGCUCGUAGGCGGUUCGUUAUGUCGGAUGUGAAAGCCCUUGGCUUAACCGAGGAAGUGCAUCCGAAACUGGCGAGCUAGAGUACGAAAGAGGAUCGCGGAAUUCCCGGUGUAGAGGUGAAAUUCGUAGAUAUCGGGAGGAACACCGGUGGCGAAGGCGGCGAUCUGGGUCGAUACUGACGCUGAGGUGCGAAAGCGUGGGGAGCAAACAGG